UUGAAAAUCGCCUUUUAAAUUGGGGUUACAAACUACAUAGCUAUGGCAUAUCAGCCAUUAAAUAGGAGUGGCCAUAGUUGUAAGUUUGAGAAACUAUAUGAAUAGGUAUAAAGGUAAGGUGUUUUCAAUAACAACAACAACAAAAUCUGUUUUUCAAAUUGAUAACAU